rnacentral:rRNA from 1 species
AAUCAACGCUGGCGGCGUGCCUAACACAUGCAAGUCGAACGCGAAAAGGGGCAACCCUGAGUAGAGUGGCGUCCGGGUGAGUAACACGUGGAUAAUCUACCUGCGGGUGGGAUAACUUCCGAAGGAAGCUAUACUGCAUAACACUAAGUGGUGGCAUCACCAAAUAGUCAAAGUGGGGGAGUCGCAAGACCUCACGCCUGUAGAGGAGUCCGCGGCCGAUUA